rnacentral:lncRNA from 1 species
CUUUCCUGUAAAUUGCUCCUCGGAAAUACAUCAAUAUAGACCGUUCAUUGAAUGAUGGUGAGUUAGAAAUCGGGAUCGUUCUCACCAUAUGCUUGUAAGGUGCAAUUACAUCUUUUUCAAGGUUCGCUAGUUUUGUAGGGUAUCUUCCAAAAUCUGAAAGCACGAACAUAGCCGACCCCAACUUAUUUCUUGCAAAUAACAUACUAUUUGGAUGGUGGGCGACAAUCAAGUGAUCCCGCCCACCCAAACGCUUCCACUCUACCCGACCUUUCAAAAACUGCACCAAUUUAUCCUGCAGCAUUCUAUCAACACUAGCUGUUUCAUGUCCUUGGACCUUUGAGUGCCGGUUGUAACUCAGGGACGAGAAAAAGGGUACAAAUAUUACAUCCGCUUCACUUGAAUUCUGCACUCUGAUUGCACUGCAUGGUCUAUCUACAUUUGCAGUAUUUGAUGCAAGAAGAUCCAGAGUAAGCCAAUACUCUGUGCUGUGCUGUAAAUUUAAACCACCAGGAUAUGGUGGAUACCUAUUAGGAAUACUUACACUAGGCCAUGCCUGAUUUGCAUUGCCUUUCCAACCUAACAGCCCGAAGUGAAAAUCAGAGGGCAAGUCAUACAUAUAUACCCUAAGAAGUGCCCGACUUUGGUCACAUACUGACCCAUGGAGUUGUCCCAUUUCAUCCAUAUUCAUCGUGUGACCAGAAACUUGAAAACCCACUUCGUGAAUGUUAGUAUCUUUCAAGUGAAUCGAUGAAUUAUUAUUCAAAAUAAAAUUAAAAACUGAUCUGGCUAUGGAAGAAUUGUCAUAAUUAUUGCUGAACUGAUGAAGGGACAACGACGAGAGGAUCAAAAGAAUCAUCGAAACUGCUAUAACUUGGACGUUCUAAGGUACUUACAGCCUAAACAGAGAACUUAAGAGGAAUGUGAUCUGCUGUAUCUGUUCUUCCGGUGAACACUUAAUUGUGUGGCCGAUUUCUUGCGAGAAACAGUCUGCCAAAUCAUAUCCACAGCAUCACCAGCCUGAGAUGGACACUGAUACUCAAAGUGUCGACUGGCAUUCUUUAAUCUUUCCCACAUUUUCGUCCAGUUCUCUUGCUUAAUCCCUCUGAGUAGAUUCAGAAGAUAACCCUUUUUCAAAGCAUCCGAUGCACGGACAAAUAAACAGAAUUCUGAGUAGUCGAGAACAUCUUCAAAGGGUAGCUCGAUUUCAUCACUGAUUAUUACAGGAACACAAUGACUAGCAAUGGCAUCAAAGAGACGAUUUGAAGAAGGGGUGUCUCCAGCAAUAUUCAGGCAAAAUUUGGAAGAGGCCAUCCCUUUCCCUGCCUGUUUUAUCCCACUAGCCUGAACGCUUCCAAACGCAAAGUAAACGUCUUUCUCGUCUUUAAGUAGGUUGUAUAGUACUUGACGGAUGGCUCCACCCUGAACGCAAAACCCAAAAUCAUAUUCAAAGCAAAUCAACAUUGAUUUUCUUUCAUCUUCUUCUUAAUCCCUAGUUUUUCGUAUUUCUCGUUUCCAUUUUUAUCAUAUUAAGUAAACUUUUAACCGUAAUUCUUUCUUUUCAACUUUACUAGUACUGGCCUACCAAGGAACAGGAAAGUGCUUCACAAAAUAGAUGUCAUGCAGUGUCAUUCAUUUCAUGCACAGAUCUAAUGCAGAUCAUAGUGCUCCAUUUCUGAGUUUUACAAGACCCCAUAUUAUAUAUGUAAGUUUGUGAUCUUCGUAGUCAAAAUGCUGAGCCCCUUAAUAUUAAAAUUUUAUGCCGUUUGCAGUUGUGGCAUUGCGACUGAGGAUUAAAGCCCUACUAAAGAAUCUAUUCCAUAAGUCCUUGCAAAAUUUAUGAAAUUGAAUAGGAAAACAAUCAAUGGCUUACAGGCAAAUAAAAGGCAUUUCACACUUAUAGUUAGAGCUGAUUUUUAGACUAUUGCUAUUUCUUUUGGGAAUCUGUCAAAGUAUAAAAUCCAGUUUAGACUAUAGACGAGAAUGACAUGAUAAUAGAAGAUAUAUGCAGUUGCAUUUCAGAGUAUUCUUCAAUGAGUGACUCAAAUACCAAUAAAUUAAAUGCAUUGAUGUAAAACCCUCAAAAGAUAACUUUCAAAUGUAACUUGGUCUCACAAAACGAACAAAACAAACAAGUAAUUCAUAAUAAGUUGCAAAAGUAUAUACAACUUACAUCUUUCCUGUAAAUUGCUCCUCGGAAAUACAUCAAUAUAGACCGUUCAUUGAAUGAUGGUGAGUUAGAAAUCGGGAUCGUUCUCACCAUAUGCUUGUAAGGUGCAAUUACAUCUUUUUCAAGGUUCGCUAGUUUUGUAGGGUAUCUUCCAAAAUCUGAAAGCACGAACAUAGCCGACCCCAACUUAUUUCUUGCAAAUAACAUACUAUUUGGAUGGUGGGCGACAAUCAAGUGAUCCCGCCCACCCAAACGCUUCCACUCUA